AUUGAACGCGGCGGCAUGCUUUACACAUGCAAGUCGGACGGCAGCACAGAGAAGCUUGCUUCUUGGGUGGCGAGUGGCGAACGGGUGAGUAAUAUAUCGGAACGUACCGAGCAGUGGGGGAUAACUAAUCGAAAGAUUAGCUAAUACCGCAUAUUUUCUGAGGAAGAAAGCAGGGGACCAUUUGGCCUUGCGCUGUUUGAGCGGCCGAUAUCUGAUUAGCUAGUUGGUGGGGUAAAGGCCUACCAAGGCGACGAUCAGUAGCGGGUCUGAGAGGAUGAUCCGCCACACUGGGACUGAGACACGGCCCAGACUCCUACGGGAGGCAGCAGUGGGGAAUUUUGGACAAUGGGCGCAAGCCUGAUCCAGCCAUGCCGCGUGUCUGAAGAAGGCCUUCGGGUUGUAAAGGACUUUUGUCAGGGAAGAAAAGGACAGGGUUAAUACCCCUGUCGGAUGACG
rnacentral:rRNA from 1 species